GGGGGCUCCAGGCUGCCAGGUGGGUGCCGGGAAGUAGCAACUGUCGGUGCGCAGCUUCCGGAGCCCGCGGGGUGCACCUCUCCUGGAGGGCAGUAAGCCCGAGCGGGGUUUCGUUUUCGCCCUGUAGGAAAGCUCUGAAGAACUGACCACCCCUUUCUCUUGGACGUCCUAAGGCGUCAGACCUCAAGAUAGAUGAAGCUGCAUCACAUAGUGUGGCUGGUGCGCAGGACAGGUGAGCUCCGAGCAACACAGACCCUGCGGCUCUGCUCCGUCUGGGUUGGAUUCGCUCUCGUGGCUUCCUAGAUGGGCCUUCCUCCACUGCUGCACUGCGGAGAGGCCGGCAGGCGCCACUCCUCACCCACAGUAGUCUCCUUGCAAAAAGCUAGGCGCGCAGCCUGGCUGAGAGCCCAGAGCGUCACCUACCCACACCUGGCGUGGCCCUUCUGUAGGAGACGGGAUUGGCUUCUGCAAGGCCAAAACCUAUGUCCGACUUCCUCGAAGAGGAUCUCACUCAGCUGUCCUCACAAAGUUUGGAGCCAGAAAGUCCCAUGAUCGCAAGGAAAUUCACUGAACUUCGGUUUCGCUUACGAGGCAUUUUGAGAUUUUUCUUGCUUUGCCAGAGGAAGAGGAGAGGAACUGUAAAGAAUGCUUUUUAUUCCUGUGGAGUGGAAUAGUCUGUAUCCACAUUGAAGCUUUCUUCUCUCCUGUAUCCUGGAGUUGGUCAGAGUUGGUUCCUCGAAUGCGGCAGCACUACCAUCUCUCAGGUCAAAUUACAAGACUUGUUACUGGAGAGCACUUUGUACACCCUAGACUGCCCCACAGUUGUUAGUUAACAAUGCUCUUUGGGGUUUUACUGGCACCUUUUUUUUCCAAAUAAGAUUGAUAUGUGCCUGCUCAAAUAAAUUAGAGUGCUCGUCUCAGAUGACAGGCACAUUGGCAGGCAGGUCGUGUUCACAGGCCAACUAGAGGACUAAUUUCAAUUCAGGGAUAUAACCAGUUCGUGAGUACUAAGUAAGGAUUAGCUUUCAUUUGAGUGUUUAAUGUGUUAUAGCAGAGCAUGUCAGGAGCUAGCAGCGAUGGGAAGAAGGCUGGUGGUGGCACUGAGGCAGCUUGUUGGAACACUUCCAUGUCAUUGGGGAGACCCCUGAGUUUCACCACAUCAGUACUAUUGACAUUUGGAGCUGGAUAACUUUUUUGAAGAUUGUCCUGUGCAUUUUAGGAUGUUUGGAACACCCCUGGCCUCUACCCAGUAGAUGCUUUUAGCAAACACCCUCACCAAGGCUGACAAGCAAAACUGUCUCCAAAGUCAAAUGUGUUGUUCUUUCUCUUCCCAACCCAAGGUUGAAAUUUUGCCAUGCCUAGUGAUGAUCCCAGAGGGCUUGUCAGGAAGGCACAGGCUCCAGCACGCCUGCCUCUCAAGCAAGGUCCUGAGUUUGAUCCCCAGUACUGGAAAAAAAAAAAGUGCACAGGCUAAGCCGGGUGUGGUGAAUCAUGCCUGUUAUCCCAACAAUCUGAGAAGCUGAGGCAGGAGGAUGGCAAGUUCUAGCCCAGCCUGGGCAACUUACUGAUUCAACUCUGUCUCAAAAUAAAUAAAAAGGUUCCGGUAUGUAACUCAGUGUGAAGGCCCUGGAUUCAGCCAUCAGUACUGGGUGGGGGAGCCACAUUCCAGAGCUAUGAAUCACUAAAUGUGGUUUUUAUGUCUACCUACCAAUAAAUGUUUUGAAUGAAUCUUAUCAAAGUGAGGGAGGAAAUUCAGACAAAUCCAGAUUGGGAGAUAUUCUAGAAAACAGCUCCAGUGGACUUUUAAAAAACUCAAUAAAAAUCCAAAAAAGCCAGGGAAUCCAUCCUGAAAAAGGGAUACCACAUCCAGGUCUAUCAGCUGACCCCUUGAUCCAGCACUGGUUGAAGCAGGAAGUUAUGACCUUUGAAGGACAAUUGGAGAACUUUGUGUGUGGAUGUCCUAUACAUUGGAGAAUGUUACUGAAUCAUUGUUAGUUUUUGCUUUCCUAUAGUUCACAAGAAUGUCCUUAUUCUUAAGAGAUGCUUACUGAAUCAUUGAAAGUCGAAAGUUCUAGUGACUACUUUCAAAUGGCUCAGAAAUUAAUAUGUUGCCAGGCGUGGUUGCACAUGCCUGUAAUCUCAGCACUUGGGAAGCUGAGGCAGGAGGAUCACUACAAGUUGGAGGCCGGCCUGGGCUACAAUAGUGACUUCAAGACCAGAACUACAUAGCAAGAUCCUGUCUGAAAAAACAAAACAGGGCCGGGGAUUUAGCUCAGUGGUUCUGCGGCCUGCCUCACAAGCUCAAGGUCCCAAGUUUGAUCCCUGGUACCAAAAAAAAAAAGAAAGAAAGAAAGAAAUGCAUCAUAUACAGUACAUUACAUUCCAGGAUAGGUUCAAGCCCUGGGCAGAUAGGGAGUCUUGAAGGUAGAUAGCAAGGUAUGUCCUUGGCAGCAUUAACAGGUUAGAUAGGGAGAUAUGUUCUUGGCAGAGCUAGCAAGAAAAUAUGUGCUUAUGAUAAUCAUUCAUUACAGACUACAGAACUUUGGAGUUCUUAACUCCAAUUUCAAACUAAUCCGUACCCACUUCCUUUUCACUGGGAUUACGGUGGGUGCCACCAUGCAUAUAGUUAUUUUCUUUUACAGGUUCUCAACCAUACUUCUGAAGAUGGAGUCAGAGAGCCUGCAUGUUUUUUCUCCAAUAGCACUUGGAAUAUGGGAGUGGGAGAAGGGAAAGCAGAUAUGGGAUGGAGAGGUUAGACCUAAACUGGACCACAAUCUGUUCACCUAUGGGCAUUGAUACAGUAAUCAGAAACCUACCCUUGGAGUCCUUAUCAAGAGUCCAGCUCAACGAAGAAUUCCAUGAGGACGGGAGGUGAGAAGUAGCUAGAGUCAGCUGGAAAGAAAGGAAGGAGCCCUACCUUGGAGACCAAUUUGUAGGCUAGAUCCACCUUCUGUGUUAAACUUUGUCACCAGUGGACACAGGGGCCACUCUUGACACCAAAGGCACUUGAGGCCACUUUGGGGCUCAGAGGAGCUGAAGGGAGUCAGCAAGUCUGCCAAACAAAGAUCCCAAGAGUUGAGCAAUCUCCUGAAUGCAACAAUUUAUUGAGCAUUUACCACAUUCAUAGAAAGAGAGAAGGGAUCUCACCCAGACAUAAGCUAGGAGCUGGAGGUGGCACUGACAGUGCAGGACUUUCUUCCACCUGGCCUACACACUGUGUGAACACCGUGGGCCCAACAGGCAGCACUGGAACUCAGCGAUCUGCAGGCUGAGCACUGGAACUCAUGGCGAUCCAGAGACCAGUACAGCCAGGGAGCCAAGUGGGGAAUCCGGAUGGGCAGAGUGAUGGUCACAGACUGUUGCAGAGCUCAAGCAGCAGCUCCUCAAAGAGCAAUAUGAGGGCAGAGUCCAUAAGCAUUAAGCCAGAAGACCAAGCCCAAGAGCAGCUCAAGACUUCAUCUUUUAUGCUGUGGGGAAGUUGGUGCAAACAACAUGUGUUAAUCUUGACAGUAAAAAUAUAUUUUUUAGAAAACAUUUUUAUAAGUUUCUCAAAAGGGGUUCACAAAGUAAGAUUUUAGCAUGCAGGCCAUAUGGUUAUCACACAAUAGGGUUGACACUCAAGCACAGUGGUUGUGUGGUUAUCACAUGGGUCAGAAAGCUCAGACUCAGAAAGUAAGUUUGAAACAAGACAGAAGCAAAGGAUGGCUUCUGUCCUGCUCACAUUACACUUUAAUCUAGGUCCAGGAUAUCCUGGUCUAAGUGGAGAAGGAGAAGUAACAAAGUAACCCAUAGUAAGUCCCCUGACCUAUACUCAGAAGUCUUAAGCAACCUUUGUCCACUCUGUCCACACCAUAAUCAUCAUGUCAUUACCAAUGCUGUUUUAACCACUCCCCGCCACCAUUCCUGUGGGUUUGGGGCACCAUGAAAGUUUCUCCAAGGGCCAUAAAAAGUCAAAAACUGCCACUAAUUGGGAGGGCAGAAUCAAACCUCUCAUUGGCAAGAGCAACCUUUAGACCAACCCCUCAGUCCCUGCCCAAUCCUUAGUGCUUAAAACCUUCACCACCAAGCCUCUUCAAGGCAGGACCUUUUCUCACGGGUCCACUUCCACCUUGUACUUUCAGUAAAUCUUUGAUCUUUCUGCUCCUUUUGAGUGCCCUGCUCAAUUCUUCAUUGAGACACCAAGAACCUAGAUAAGAUUCUUGACUCAGUAAGAGGGGGACAGAAAAUUAUUUUUUCUUCCCCUGCUCUAACCUAUUUUCUCUUCUGUCUUUGGAAGCUCAGCAGCAACAAAACUUCAGGGAGCAAAAGAGACCCCUCUCCUCCCAGCAGCCUGGACUCUCAAGAGCCACCUUCGCUUGGGGCUGGGAACAUGAUUCACUGAUAGAACAUUUGCCUAGAAUGCAUGAGGCCCUAGGUUCAAUCCCCAAAAUGGGGUGGGGGAGCCCUGCUCAUGGAUUGGAAGACAAAUCUGUGGAGAGAGUAGAUUAGUUGUUGCUUAGAACUGAGGUGAUAAGAAGAUUUGAAAGGUGAUGGCUAAGUGUUACAAAGUUUUUUUGGGGGUAAUAAAAUGUUCUAAAAUAGCUUGUGACAAUGGACGCACAACUAUGAAUAUACUAAAAGCCAUUGAGUUAGGAACUUCCAAUGGGUGAAUUGUAUAGUAC
rnacentral:lncRNA from 1 species